rnacentral:rRNA from 1 species
AUUGAACGCUGGCGGCAGGCCUAAUACAUGCAAGUCGAACGAGUGGCGGACGGGUGAGCAAUGUCUGGGAAACUGCCUUAAGGAGGGGGAUAACUACUGGAAACGGUAGCAAAUACCGCAUACCAUCAGAUGUGCCCAGAUGGGGUUAGCUAGUAGGUGGGGUAACGGCUUACCAAGGCGACGAUCCCUAGCUGGUCGGAGAGGAUGACCAGCCACACUGGAACUGAGACACGGUCCAGACUCCUACGGGAGGCAGCAGUGGGGAAUAUUGCGCAAUGGGCGCAAGCCUGAUGCAGCAAUGCCGCGUGUAUGAAGAAGGCCUUCGGGUUGUAAAGUACUUUUAGCGGGGAAGCGUUACCCAAAGAGGAAGCACCGGCUAACUCCGUGCCAGCAGCCGCGGUAAUUC